CAUAUUUCAUAAGGACUUUAAUAUGAAAGAUUUAAAGAAUUUUUAAAAAAAUUUUAAUUUCCAUGUGAGAGAAAAAUUCUCCAGACCCGACAAAAAUAUACCACAUUAUUUUUCAUUUGUCUGCAAAGACAAAGCUUAUCUCUUUGCUUUCUAGUUCAUCAUAUUUUAAUGAGCUGGGCUGAUUUUCUGUUGCGUUUAUUAUUUUAAAUACUUGAAGCUUGAUGUGAGUGGGAGAAAUAUUCAAAUUUAAAGCCCAUUUAAAUUUGCCAUAAAACCCCAUGUAUCUCUUGCAAAUAUCAUUUGGAAAAGUGUAAGAAAUUAAUUCAUAUAUUAAUGUAAUGUACGGCCUAUGUAGUAUUUUACCCCUCAUUCUAUGGGGUUUGUAUUUUCUUUCUCAAGGUGUAAUAUGUAGUCUUGGUCCUACUUUCAGAUGUGGAAUGAUAGGAAGUGCACAUGUUGCCAUGCACAGCAUGACCUCAUUUUGGAGCACAUCUUGAAAAUGUGUUUAAUGCUCUCUGAGCACAGAGACAAUGGGGCAUGGUUUGGGGUCCUCCUCCCUGACCUUUGGCUUGGUGGGAAAUGUGGACUGCUUCCUCUGCCCAUCAGCUGCUCUCAGAGUGGAAAGGAGGCUGCCCCAACAUUAGGAAGCAAAUGCUCUUGCUGAGGGUACAGGCUGCCUUCCUUACCCAAGAUAUUGUGUCUAAAAAUACACCCGCCGAGAGGCAGGCAUAUGCUUGCGCCUUGGUGUGAAGGAGCUCUCGCUUGUGUUUCUUGCUAUCCCCAUCUAAAUUCUGGAGUGAGGAAUUAAAUUAUUCCAGAAGCCCUGCCAGUUUUUGAUUUUCCAUUGUCUCUGCUUCUUUGCUGCCUUUGAAUGGGACCCUUGAUCUGCGGCUUUCAUAGACCAGCCCGGGCUGAUGGGGUCUGUGACUUGCCGAUGGCGUCUGCUCCUUACAGUUGUAUUUGUCCCAGGCAUAUUUUCAGUUUUUUUUUUUUUUUUUUUCUUUUUCCUUUUUGGGAGGUAGAGAGCUCUGGGCAGAGGUUGUACCCGACACGUUAGAACUCCGUUGUCACUGCUGUGGCUGUUAUUCCCCUCAGCGAGAGCCAAGGAGCAAACAGGACGGGUAAUUCAUCUUUCUACCAUCCACUGACUGAAGAUCCUGGAGUUCCGCAUUUGAUUGUUUUCAUCUUUCUAAGAUGUGGCACUUCAGGAAGUCUUCACUCAUGCCAAGAAACUGAGACCUGGAGGACCUCUUAGGUGAAAUACGGUUGUGCUUGUUCUCAGGCAGCCAAGAGAUGCUAUUGAGCUUGAUGAAGGAGGCCCUUUCAGGAUAAAGGGGGAACUCAGAGGAGAGCUGAAUAACUGCUUUCAUGGACAGCUACUUUAAUAGUCUCAUGUUUGAAAAAUAUGCUAUUAAAGGAAAUACUAUUACAAAUAGCCUGUGUUUGUUCCUUUAAAAUACUAUAGAUUAAAAGAAAU